rnacentral:rRNA from 1 species
CGAAGGGUGCAAGCGUUAUUCGGAAUCAUUGGGCGUAAAGCGCGCGCAGGCGGAUUGAUAAGUCAGGUGUGAAAUCUCGAGGCUCAACCUCGAAACUGCGCCUGAAACUAUUAGUCUAGAGUGUCGGAGGGGGCAGGGGAAUUUCACGUGUAGGGGUAAAAUCCGUAGAGAUGUGAAGGAACACCGGAGGCGAAGGCGCCUGCCUGGACGACUACUGACGCUGAGGCGCGAAAGCGUGGGGAGCAAACAGGAUU